UACAGAGGUCUCGAGCGUUAGGCGGAAUCACUGGGCUUAAAGCGUGUGUAGGCGGAUCGUAAGUACCUUGUGAAAUCCCACGGCUUAACCGUGGAACUGCUUGGUAUACUGGCGGUCUUGAGCCAGCUAGGGGCUACCGGAACAAAUGGUGGAGCGGUGAAAUGCGUAGAUAUCAUUUGGAACGCCAAUGGUGAAAACAGGUAGCUGGGGCUGUGCUGACGGCUGAGACACG
rnacentral:rRNA from 1 species